rnacentral:rRNA from 2 species
UGGGGAAUAUUGCACAAUGGGGGAAACCCUGAUGCAGCGACGCCGCGUGAGCGAAGAAGUAUUUCGGUAUGUAAAGCUCUAUCAGCAGGGAAGAAAAAAUGACGGUACCUGACUAAGAAGCACCGGCUAAAUACGUGCCAGCAGCCGCGGUAAUACGUAUGGUGCAAGCGUUAUCCGGAUUUACUGGGUGUAAAGGGAGCGCAGGCGGUACGGCAAGUCUGAUGUGAAAGCCCGGGGCUCAACCCCGGUACUGCAUUGGAAACUGUCGGACUAGAGUGUCGGAGGGGUAAGUGGAAUUCCUAGUGUAGCGGUGAAAUGCGUAGAUAUUAGGAGGAACACCAGUGGCGAAGGCGGCUUACUGGACGAUUACUGACGCUGAGGCUCGAAAGCGUGGGGAGCAAACAGG